rnacentral:ncRNA from 1 species
AAUCUUCGGGGCGGGGUGAAAUUCCCCACCGGCAGUUAAAGCCUGCGAGCCGCGAAUGCGGUUGAUUUGGUGAAAUUCCAAAGCCGACGGUACAGUCCGGAUGAAAGAAGAUG